ACAGGCAGCCGGAUAGCUGCAUUGCAGAAUGUAAAAUCUGUUAAUGAGGAAAGUCCGGGCUUCAUGGAAACAAAGCACCAGAUAAUGUCUGGCUGGAGAAAUCCAAGGGAAAGUGCCACAGAAAGUUACCGCCAAGCAAGUUUUGGUAAGGUUGAAAAGGCGAGGUAAGAGCUCACCGCAGAAACAGCAAUGUUUCUGGCAAGGUAAACCCUGUUUGAAGCAAGACCAAAUUAGGAGAGCCGUUAUGGUUAAGGAUAGUUUCCAAUCCGCUCCAGAGGUAGGUCGCGUUGAGCAUUACAGCGAUGUGAUGCCAAGAUGAAUAGCUAUCAUUUCAAACUUUUCGCAAGAAUGGUUAGAAAUACAGAACCCGGCUUAUAGGCUGCCUAAUUUU
rnacentral:RNase_P_RNA from 1 species